UACGGAAGGUCCGGGCGUUAUCCGGAUUUAUUGGGUUUAAAGGGUGCGCAGGCGGAAUGUCAAGUCAGCGGUAAAAUUUCGGGGCUCAACCCCGUCGUGCCGUUGAAACUGAUGUUCUUGAGUGGGCGAGAAGUAUGCGGAAUGCGUGGUGUAGCGGUGAAAUGCAUAGAUAUCACGCAGAACUCCGAUUGCGAAGGCAGCAUACCGGCGCGCAACUGACGCUCAUGCACGAAAGCGUGGGUAUCGAACAGG
rnacentral:rRNA from 1 species